AAACCCAAGUCAACACUGAACCUGCAACAAAACAGGACAUUGAUAACCUCUUCGACAGAAUCCGAAAGCUUUUUGCCGCAGACAUAGCAGCAGUGCAGACCGAGGUGCGGGCGGUCACCGCCCGCGUCCAGGUGUCUGACACAAACAUAGCUGAUCUGCAAAGCAACCUGGCAGCAGUAAGAGACACCGUAACGAAACUACAAGAGCAACACUCAAACAUGUCUCUGAGACUAGACUUACUGGAUGAAAGAUCCCGCCAGAAGAAUGUAAAGAUCAGGGGGGUCGCAGAAGCAGUGACCACAGAAGAAUUACCGCACCUCAUAAGGCGCCUAAUAACUACAUUGCUCCCAGCUAAACAGGCGAUGCAAUUCGCACAUGACGGCGCAUAACGUAUCGCAAAAUCCCCUAGGGCG